UACGGAGGGUGCAAACGUUGCUCGGAAUCAUUGGGCGUAAAGCGCACGUAGGCGGCCUGAUAAGUCGGGUGUGAAAGCCCUGGGCUCAACCCAGGAAGUGCACUCGAAACUGUCAGGCUUGAAUAUGGAAGAGGGUCGCGGAAUUCCCGGUGUAGAGGUGAAAUUCGUAGAUAUCGGGAGGAACACCAGUGGCGAAGGCGGCGACCUGGGCCACAACUGACGCUGAGGCGCGAAAGCUAGGGGAGCAAACAGG
rnacentral:rRNA from 1 species